GAUGAACGCUGGCGGCGUGCCUAAUACAUGCAAGUCGAGCGAACAGACGAGGAGCUUGCUCCUCUGACGUUAGCGGCGGACGGGUGAGUAACACGUGGAUAACCUACCUAUAAGACUGGGAUAACUUCGGGAAACCGGAGCUAAUACCGGAUAAUAUAUUGAACCGCAUGGUUCAAUAGUGAAAGACGGUUUUGCUGUCCCUUAUAGAUGGAUCCGCGCCGCAUUAGCUAGUUGGUAAGGUAACGGCUUACCAAGGCAACGAUGCGUAGCCGACCUGAGAGGGUGAUCGGCCACACUGGAACUGAGACACGGUCCAGACUCCUACGGGAGGCAGCAGUAGGGAAUCUUCCGCAAUGGGCGAAAGCCUGACGGGGCAACGCCGCGCGAGUGAUGAAGGUCUUCGGAUCGUAAAACUCUGUUAUUAGGGAAGAACAAAUGUGUAAGUAACUAUGCACGUCUUGACGGUACCUAAUCAGAAAGCCACGGCUAACUACGUG
rnacentral:rRNA from 1 species